rnacentral:tRNA from 1 species
AUUUAAAUAAAGAGCAUAGUAUUGAAGAUACUAAGGAAACAUAUUAGUUUUUAAAUA